rnacentral:rRNA from 1 species
UCCGGCCUACGGGGGGCAGCAGUAGGGAAUCUUCCACAAUGGGCGCAAGCCUGACGGAGCAACGCCGCGUGGGUGAAGAAGGUCUUCGGAUCGGAAAACCCUGUUGUUAGAGAAGAAAGUGCGUGAGAGUAACUGUUCACGUUUCGACGGUAUCUAACCAGAAAGCCACGGCUAACUACGUGCCAGCAGCCGCGGUAAUACGUAGGUGGCAAGCGUUAUCCGGAUUUACUGGGU